rnacentral:rRNA from 1 species
GACGAACCGUACAAACGUUAUUCGGAAUCACUGGGCUUAAAGGGUGCGUAGGCGGCGCAGCAAGUUGGAUGUGAAAUCUCUCGGCUCAACCGAGAAAUUGCGUUCAAAACUGCUGUGCUAGAGGGAGACAGAGGUGAGCGGAACUUAGGGUGGAGCGGUGAAAUGUGUUGAUAUCCUAAGGAACACCGGUGGCGAAGGCG